UUCUUGCCUGCUUAAUAACAUAGAUCAAUUGACCAUAUACAGGUGGGUCUAUUUCUGGUCUCUUUAUUCUGUUCCACUGAUCUGUUUUGGUGCCAGUACCAUCAUGUUUUAAGUACUACAGCACUGUAGUCUAUCUUCAAGUCUGGGGUUUAUGAUACCUUCAGCUUUGUUUUUCUUUCUCAAGACUGCUUUGGCUAUUCAGGGUCUUUUGUGGUCCAUACAAAUUUUAGGAUUAUUUGCUCUUUUUUUUUCCCCAGGGUAUUUUUUCCCCAGAUCCUCGGAGUGUGCUGUUGGUGGCUUUCUCUCAUUGAGCAUUUCACAGCUGAAGUUUAGAGGACUUCCCUAAGGCCCGCUCCAUUUCGCUGAUGCACUAUCUUAACGGAACACACAAAGUUUACUCGAGUGUAGCGGAAGAACAACUUUCUUGACACAAACCUGGCGCACUUCGGCCGGUGCGCACUAGCGGUGUCCAGUGUAAGCCUUAAACCAGGAGGUCACCGAGGCGGCGGCGGACGAGAUCAUCCCGCCCGCACUGCUGCUCGCGAUGGGCGGGGACACCUGACUGCUCUGGCUCUGGGAGCCCUCCACGGGCUGGGAAGGGAUAUCACAGAAGCGGGGGCUCGGCAGGUUCUCCCAGUCCGUGCCCAGGUCUGUCUCCUCAUCACUGACGCGCUCGUCGCCGCUCUCGUCUGAUUCCCCAGCAGCGCUGGGGUCCACGAACUCCAUGGACUCCUCCAGGUCAGCUCGCACUUCAAAGGGUCCCGACCUGCACGAGCACACAAGCAGCAUUGUGACAACAGUGACCCAGGCCUGCCGGGACCGAGGAGGUCCAGAGCCUGCACUGUACCCCCUGGUGGUCUGUAACGGCAGAUAUUGACCCAGAUAACUGCCCUGGGAGGAAUGCACACCACCACGCGCCCACACUGUUCCUCGGUCCCCCGGCUUGACUGGUGGAGCUCCGGGAUGCACAGAGACCAGCCGUCCUGGUCCCAGGAACGACUUCCUCUCUGAACAACUGCAGGAUCCACGCAUCUCGGGGGGACAGUCCCACCAACAACCGUCACUUGCUGUAUACACUGCUGUAUCACUUGGUGGCACAAGUAAUAAAUGGUAUAGAAAAAAAAAAG